ensembl:processed_transcript
UCAGCUUCCGCGGUUAGGAGCACAUGCUGCUCUUCUAGAGGACCUGGCUUGCUUUUGUUUUUGUGAUUUUAAACAUAAUGCCAUGGUGCAUUCUCUUUCAACUUCAUCAUAUCAUUUAUCAAGCCAGACGAAAUGAGAGGCAGGGUUAAUGACCAGUCUCCACCAUCAGCUGAGAGCCUAGAGGUUGCUCGAAAAGUUUCCGGCGCUCCCUUAGCGAAGCUGUGACCUCUUUCCCUCCUUCCUUAAUAAUUUAUCUGACAUUUCUCCUGGAGGAACCUGCUGGCACCUUUCCUUUCUCCCAAACCUCUCCUGGAAUUCCCUGAGGAUAAGAAU